UUUAAACCUUUGCUGGUAACAGACCAGCAAGUGAUUGAACUAUUAGAGAUUGUGAUCCCAAAUCUCGGAUAGUGGUUUUCCUUGUGAAGUGCGUGGUAUUUCUCAUUCGUGAGGAAGUUGACGGUAGUUUUUUCUAAUAUGGAGUUUAUGCUUGUGGCUCUGUUUGUGCGGCGCUUUGUGCAGUGAUGGAGGUCAAGUUAGCGAGGUUCACUUCUUCAAAUUUAAACUUUUAUAGUUUUGGCAAGAUUUGUCUCCAGCUGAACUACGUUUGAAUGUCGGCAUUCUUAAGUGUGUCAGCAGAGGAACUAAUGGCGCGUCUUUGAACGAUGGCGAAUUGAAACUGCAAUUUGGAGGAUUUGAUUCUCUUGCGCAAGUUGUUGCUUGGGCUUACGAUGGAAGGGCUUACGAUGGAAGGGCUUACGAUGGAAGGGCUUACGAUGGAAGGGCUUACGAUGGAAGGGCCAUUGAAAAUGACUGGAGAUGCUGAAGUCGCUACAAUUUGAGGGCGUAGAAGUCUGUAUUCCUGAUGUACAAAUUUUGCUUAUUUCACUAAAUUGAUUCUGAAAUUGUAAAUAUUUUUAACCCGUAAGUAAUUUAUGGAUUAAUCCUUGAUUGAUGAACUGAUAAUAUCGUGAAUGGUCAUUUUAACAUUGAGUUUGAUUAACAUUGAGUUUGAUUAACAUUGAGUUUGAUUAACAU